CCAAAGUUCGCGAAAUCUCAAGAAAGUGGUAGCACACGACACGAUACUGUCUGGUGGUGAUAGUGACGAUAUCAGUGUCGAUCAGUUGAUCGUAAUCCAUCUCUUUGACAUACGGCAGGAGUAUCUCAUAAGAAUCCUCGAUUUGCAUAUUUCGCAGAAUCUUGUCGCCUCCACCCGAAUAUAUAUAUAUAUAUAUAUAUAUAUAUAUAUAUAUAUAUAUAUCUGGCUAUAUGGAAAACUAAGACUACCUCUCGGAUGGCACGAUCGAUCAUCUAUGAACAAGCUUUGAAUGAUGGCAAAAGGAACUGUGUUUGUAACCCGUAUGGUGGUGGAUUCUAUUAGGUGUUAAUUAUCUUCAGGGAGGAGGGCAUCUCCAUCAAAGGAUUUAACCAAAAUUUCUUAAAACAUAUUUUAUUCUUAAUUUUGGAAAAAAGUGAAAUUAAGAACUUAUUAAGAAACUUUAUUAUUACAUGAGUCCAUUGAAGGUUGUUAACUUUGGAGUCUUUAAUUAAAAUUUCUUGUUCUUGAUUAAAAGAGAUUUGUUUGCCUGA